AAGCGCCUAAAUAGUCCCUCAAUUCCUUUUUCAGUAUCUUGAAUAUUUGCCUCCAGUUCUUGGAGCAAAUUUUGAACAUUGUCGACUUGCACGGUGUAACCAGAUUUGCUUGACUUCGAACUACUAAGGGAAUGCAAAGCAGCAUCCACCUUCUCAAGUUCAUUCCUACAAAGGACAAGAAGGAUUCAAACACGGUGAAGGUGACUGCGUUUAGCCCUUUCAACAAGCUGACAGCAGCUGGAGUCUCAUAGUUCUUGUCUUGACUUUCCUUGACCUUUAAGGCGCUGUUAAUUGCCUUUGACAUCCUUCCUAGAGCUAAGACGGCAUCCUUAAUGAUUCCACACACAUCCAGGACCCUGAAGAAUCCAUCUAGUAAUUCAUUGAUCCAUUUGUCUCCGCACUUUUCGGCCAAGGCUUGUUUAGUUAGUGGCAAAAGAAGAAAACUUUCAACACUAUCGUAUAAAUCUUGAAGUCCACUGAGUUUGUGGCAUAUGGACGAUGCAUGGUGCUGAAGCUUUUAAUCCGCAUGCAUAUCUGCUUAUCAAAUUCUGUAACAAAAGGUUGUGAUGUUGAAGGCAUUCUGUGGAGCAAGCAUGGAAGACUGCCAUUUUCUUUUAAUGAAAAAGAGGAAUUUUACUUUGAAAUUUUAUGCUUAACUGGUGCUUUCAGUUUGCAGCUUCCUUCCCUUUGGCAUCUGUUUAUAUAUUUACAUGGUUAGGGUGACAAGAACAACUCAUCCUCUCACAGCUGAAUGAGCAGAAACAUGAUUCGAUCUGGAUCCAUCAACUAUAAAUUUUACUUCUAAUAUCGGAUGAGUAUCUUCAGUUUGGCAGCAAUAUCAUGUGAUGCGUCACACAACUAUCCCUAAAAUAUGUAGCUCAGGAGUGGUACUGUAUCAUCAUCUAUGUAUAAAAUGAAGUCAAUAGUUCUAUCCAGCAUUGCAGCUCUGCCUGUCUGCCUGCCCGACGACGAGUUCUGUGUAUCACUCUUCGCAGAAACUAUUCUGCAUUAAUUAAUUAAUUAUAGAACAAGCUUGCAUGAAUUAAGAGCUGUCAUCCGGACAACUUGAUUUGAAGGUCUGGUAGGUGCUUUGUCAUCCAUUUUAACGACAAUGAGGAAGAAGAUAUGGAAGAUAAGGUUGGCAUUCAGAUCCGUCAUCCAAAUUUCAUUAUACAAAGAAAACAGAAGGUGAGAAACUAUGAUGACUGCAAUUUGUUGUAUCACACACAAAGUCGAUGCAACUCGUGCACUGUGUAUUUUAUGGAUUUUUUACAAUACAAAAAUUGGGUGGUGAGUAGGAGAGUUGGGAGGUAGGGGGAACACGGCAUGUACAUUAUUGAGGUACCAUGCAUGUUCCAGUCCUCUUGAUCAAAUACCUUUCAUUUGAUAAAUAAUAAGGAAGAGAUACUUCUUGUCUCCUACUAUCCACAUGAUAUUUGAAUAGUCAAUCAUCAUCCUCUUACAUAUAUUAAGCAGGUGUCGCGUAGGAAGGUCAAUCACUGGACUAGUACAUUCAACGGCAAAACCUUUUUUUCUCUUGAUAAAAAUAUGGUUGAGAAAAAAUCCAAUUGCCAUGCUCGCUCUAACAUCUUUCGCUCAACAAAACAUCUUCUCGUCUCUUAAUAUAUUUUGUGAGCAGUUGUGCAGAUUGAGGCCUUCCGAAGGCU